UAAGUUCAUCAGCGGAGUCGGCGAUGUUAUCGUACAGAGCUUUGGCGAGGACAGUCUGCCAACGAAAAAGGAAUAUAAAAUUAUAAGUGCUAGCCUUCUAUUUAUCUAUUCUACCAUGGGACCAGGGUUAGGCUGAAUCUCAAGAUUUUCCAUUCAAGCCAUCACCAAUGGAGAAUGUUUUACUUUAGAAUAACAAAGGAUAUGUAAAUACCAAUACUUGGGAUUAAUAAAAGAAUACAUUGAUUGUCAUGUCAGGAUUAAACUGUACAAAAGAAGGAGACACCAAGAGAGUGAGUCACGUUAUUAUAAUUUACUCAAUUUUAUCAUCACUAUGAAAAAGUGCUAGUAAAGUUUAUUCUACUUCUCUAUGCCACUCAUGCGAAGAGGUGAUUGUUACUGAACAGAUAUAGAUCUAUAAAAUUCCAAUUUUCAAAAUAUCAUAACAACAAAAAAAACAUAAUAGCAAUUAAUCACUUAUUUUUGGAAAUAAAGUGCAACCCUAUAAACCAGUCUAGCAUGAGAAGAAUUGAUCUUAUUUUCAUUCCCUUGUAUUCAUACUAAGCCUGCCUGUGACUGUAAUAGUAUUUCAUUCCCUUGUAUUCACAGUAAGACCUGCCUGUGACUGUUAUAGUAUUUCUUGAUACUCCAGUAAUGAACUCUGAUGUCUUCUGUUCUCAAUACACCACAGAAUUGGGUUACUGCAAUGAAAUGAAAUAAUUUACUGCUAUUCCAUCAUGGUCUACUCUACCCAACCUAACAAGAAAGGUGAAAUAUUUUAAUAAUAUAUAACAAUGAUAAAUGACUUGAUUAGAUGAAUGCUUGUUUUAGUGAGCUUCCAAUACAGUUAGUGUGAUGAUUCAA